GAUGAACGCUGGCGGCGUGCCUAAUACAUGCAAGUCGAGCGAACGGACGAGAAGCUUGCUUCUCUGAUGUUAGCGGCGGACGGGUGAGUAACACGUGGAUAACCUACCUAUAAGACUGGGAUAACUUCGGGAAACCGGAGCUAAUACCGGAUAAUAUUUUGAACCGCAUGGUUCAAAAGUGAAAGACGGUCUUGCUGUCACUUAUAGAUGGAUCUGCGCUGCAUUAGCUAGUUGGUAAGGUAACGGCUUACCAAGGCAACGAUGCAUAGCCGACCUGAGAGGGGGGUCGGCGACACUGGAACUGAGACGCGGACCAGACUACUACGGGAGGCAGCAGUAGGGAAUGUUCCGCAAUGGGGGAAAGCCUGACGGAGCAACGCCGCGUGAGUGAUGAAGGUGUUCGGAUCGUAAAACUCUGUUAUUAGGGAAGAACAUAUGUGUAAUUAGCUGUGGACAUAUUGACGGUACCUAAUCAAAAAGCAACGGCUAACUACGUG
rnacentral:rRNA from 1 species